CCCUGGUGUGGUGUAAUUGGCCUCAAUAGCAACUAAUGCCCUGGUGUGGUGUAAGUGGCCUCAGCCAGCAGCCACAGGCCCUGGUGUGGUGUAAGUGGCCUGAGCAAGAGCCACAGGCCCUGGUGUGGUGUAAGUGGCCUGAGCAAGAGCCACAGGCCCUGGUGUGGUGUAAUUGGCCUCAAUAGCAACUAAGGCCCUGGUGUGGUGUAAGUGGCCUCAGCCAGCAGCCACAGGCCCUGGUGUGGUGUAAGUGGCCUCAGCCAGCAGCCACAGGCCCUGAUGUGGUGUAAGUGGCCCCAGCCGGUCACUCAGUCCCUGGUGUGGUGUAAGUGGCAUCAGCUAGCAGCACAAGACAUUGGAAAACAGCCAAAAGCAAUGUCGUUAAUGUGCCCUCAUUAAUGGGCAGCUGCUUUUGGUCUUUUAAUACACCCCUUCUCUGGAUCAAAAGCGGUUCAAUGACAUGAAAAUGAAAGGCUUACAGCACCAGGUAUUCCCAGGUAGUCUCCCAUCCAAGUACUAACCAAGCCCAGCCCUGCUUAGCUUCCGAGAUCAGACGAGGUCGGGCGUGCUCAGGGUGGUAUGGCCGUAAGCUGCUGGCCCCAGCACAAUGUCUCAAUUUAUGGAUUCAACUGAUUAGGUGGCAAGUACCUGAAGUUACGAAGACAAUCCUUUAACCAUACCUGCAUGUUUGCAUAAUACCCUAACCCAAAGGCUCAGUUUAGCAUUUAUCUAACAGCACAGGCCCUGGAUUGUUGAAGAUGGCCUCAGGAACCAGCACAGGGCCUGGUGUGUUGUACAUGGCCACAGCUAGCAGCACAGGGCCUGGUUUGGUGAAGAUGGCCUCGGCCAGAAGCGCAGGACCUGGUGUGAUGUGAGUGGCCUGAGCAAGAGCCACAGGCCCUGGUGUGGUGUAAGUGGCCUGAGCAAGAGCCACAGACCCUGGUGUGGUGUAAUUGGCCUCAAUAGCAACUAAUGCCCUGGUGUGGUGUAAGUGGCCUCAGCCAGCAGCCACAGACCCUGGUGUGGUGUACGUGGCCUCAAUAGCAACUAAUGCCCUGGUGUGGUGUAAGUGGCCUCAGCCAGCAGCCACAGGCCCUGGUGUGGUGUAAGUGGCCCCAGCCGGUCACUCAGGCCCUGGUGUGGUGUAGGUGGCAUCAGCUAGCAGCACAAGACAUUGGAAAACAGCCAAAAGCAAUGUCGUUAAUGUGCCCUCAUUAAUGGGCAGCUGCUUUUGGUCUUUUAAUACACCCCUUCUCUGGAUCAAAAGCGGUUCAAUGACAUGAAAAUGAAAGGCUUACAGCACCAGGUAUUCCCAGGUAGUCUCCCAUCCAAGUACUAACCAAGCCCAGCCCUGCUUAGCUUCCGAGAUCAGACGAGGUCGGGCGUGCUCAGGGUGGUAUGGCCGUAAGCUGCUGGCCCCAGCACAAUGUCUCAAUUUAUGGAUUCAAGUGAUUAGGUGGCAAGUACCUGAAGUUACGAAGACAAUCCUAUAACCAUACCUUCAUGUUUGCAUAAUACCCUAACCCAAAGGCUCAGUUUAGCAUUUAUCCAACAGCACAGGCCCUGGAUUGUUGAAGAUGGCCUCAGGAACCAGAACAGGGCCUGGUGUGUUGUACAUGGCCACAGCUAGCAGCACAGGGCCUGGUUUGGUGAAGAUGGCCUCGGCCAGAAGCACAGGGCCUGGUGUGAUAUGAGUGGCCUGAGCAAGAGCCACAGGCCCUGGUGUGGUGUAAGUGGCCUGAGCAAGAGCCACAGGCCCUGGUGUGGUGUAAGUGGCCUGAGCAAGAGCCACAGGCCCUGGUGUGGUGUAAGUGGCCUGAGCAAGAGCCACAGGCCCUGGUGUGGUGUAAGUGGCCUGAGCAAGAGCCACAGGCCCUGGUGUGGUGUAAGUGGCCUGAGCAAGAGCAACAGGCCCUGGUGUGGUGUAAUUGGCCUCAAUAGCAACUAAGGCCCUGGUGUGGUGUAAGUGGCCUCAGCCAGCAGCCACAGGCCCUGGUGUGGUGUAAGUGGCCUCAGAAGCAAAUAAGGCCGUGGUGUGGUGUAUGUGGCCUCAGCCAGUGCCACAGGCCCUGGUGUGGUGUAAGUGGCCUGAGCAAGAGCCACAGGCCCUGGUGUGGUGUAAGUGGCCUCAGCCAGCGCCACAGACCCUGGUGUGGUGUAAUUGGCCUCAAUAGCAACUAAUGCCCUGGUGUGGUGUAGGUGGCCUCAGCCAGCAGCCACAGGCCCUGGUGUGGUGUAAGUGUGCUGUUGGAUAAAUGCUAAACUGGCUAAACUGAGCCUUUGGGUUAGGGUAUUAUGCUGCGUUCGGUGUGGGAGGCCGCGCCUCGUCCCAUCGCUUCAAUUCCAGCGGUCAGCUUAGGGGGGGUUUGAACAGCUGGUUCCGCUCUCUUAUUUCUCCGAUAAGUCAGGGCCAAGCCAGCUCCGAUCAGCAAGAACCCUGUUAUCAUGGUUCCGAAUAGGUAAAAGUUAGCUUCAUACCUGAGAGAUGGUACCUUCAAAUUCGUCCUCCAUGGUGCUUCUAUCACUAAAACAAUCCGCUGCUGUACUCAUGAUCACAUGACUUAGAUGAUUCUGAUUGGCUGCUCAAAUGCUCAUUAGGGGUGGAGCAUUUUUAUAACAUUAGUUACCAUAGGGCUUUGGAGCGUGAUGUAACGGGGUGGGCGUGGAAAGGAUUUUGGCCUGAUGCGCCAUUUUCGUGGUCAAAAUAUAUGGCGUUAUUUUUGUGCCACUAUUCUGAGCGCACGUAAAAAAAAUUUUGAACCGUCUGAGCUAGUGAUGGCCAAAUGAAGCUUUCUGAAGCACUGAAGCUUGUAUUGAAAAACGGUUCACUACUCGAAGCUUUUCAACACAGUCCUCUCUGGUGACAUCUGGUGGCCAAAAAUAUGAAGAGCAGCUUGAAUCCACAAAAUAAAACCAACCGCUUCAUUAUGAUUGCCCACACUACAGAGUGGAAUCCUGUCUGAUAUUGGGCCUCCGUUGUGUUGCUUUGAACGUGUAUUUUUUGGUGGUUAAAAUGUGUUUUAUUCGUUUAAUAAAUAGUUUUGACCAGUAAACUCUCCUUGUUUAAACAUGCACCAUGGUGUGGUCUUUCUUUGCUUGUGACUUCUUGAUGUUGGUAAAUACAAUAAUUGAAAAAUACCGCGUUACAUAUAUAUACAUAUAAUAAUGUAAAACACAUUAUGGAGUAUGCUUCUGCUGUGAGGUCUUGCCUCCAUGCAGGUAUGCAAUUAAUCGCCGGAGGGGUGUAUUUAUAAAUAAUAUUAUAUUAAGGAAAUUUUCCCAGACAUAUUUUUGACCUGGGGGUAGAAUUGAUUGUGAAAUGGAAAAGGAAAAUGCUUAUGAACUUGCAAAUUAAAAACAUGAUGCAUUGACGGUAACCCUUUUUCAUUUUUAUUUAAAAAGAGAAUUUGUUCUAGUGUGCGAUGGCCG
ensembl:lncRNA